CCAGCAGACCACCAUGACGUGUACGGAGAAUGGCUGGUCCCCUCCUCCCAAAUGUGCUCCAUCAGUGUUGUGAUGUGUUCA